CAAUAGCGUAUAUUAAAGUUGUUGCAGUUAAAAAGCUCGUAGUUGGAUUUCUGGUGGGAGCGAUCGGUCUGGCGCUUAGCGCGAGUACUUGCAUCGUCUCCGGCCAUCCUUGGGGAGAGUCUGUCUGGCAUUAGGUUGUCGGGCAGAGGAUCUUCAUCGUUUACUGUGAAAAAAUUAGAGUGCUCAAAGCAGGCUUAUGCCGUUGAAUAUAUUAGCAUGGAAUAAUAAGAUAGGACUUUGGUACUAUUUUGUUGGUUUGCGCACCAAAGUAAUGAUUAAUAGGGACAGUUGGGGGUAUUCGUAUUCCGUUGUCAGAGGUGAAAUUCUUGGAUUUACGGAAGACGAACUACUGCGAAAGCAUUUACCAAGGAUGUUUUCAUUAA
rnacentral:rRNA from 1 species